rnacentral:rRNA from 1 species
AUCAACUUUCGAUGGUAGGAUAGAGGCCUACCAUGGUGGUAACGGGUAACGGGGUGUUAGGGCACGACACCGGAGAGGGAGCCUGAGAAACGGCUACCACAUCCAAGGAUGGCAGCAGGCGCGCAAAUUACCCAAUCCCGACACGGGGAGGUAGUGACAAUAAAUAACAAUACGGGGUCCUUUCGGGUUUCGUAAUUGGAAUGAGUACAAUUUAAAUCUCUUAACGAGGAACAAUUGGAGGGCAAGUCUGGUGCCAGCAGCCGCGGUAAUUCCAGCUCCAAUAGCGUAUAUUAAAGUUGUUGCAGUUAAAAAGCUCGUAGUUGAAUUUCGGGAUCAGUACGCUGGUCGUGCCUUCGGUAUGCACUGGUGUCACUGGUUCCUCCCUUCUGAAGAACUGUCAUGCCAUUCAGUUGGUGUGGCGGGGAAUCAGGACUGUUACUUUGAAAAAAUUAGAGUGUUUAAAGCAGGCUCGCGCUUGAAUACAUUAGCAUGGAAUAAUGAAAUAGGACGUUUGACCCUAUUUUGUUGGUUUCUAGGAUCGACGUAAUGAUUAAUAGGGAUAGUUGGGGGCAUUAGUAUUCAAUUGUCAGAGGUGAAAUUCUUGGAUUUAUUGAAGACUAACUACUGCGAAAGCAUUUGCCAAGGAUGUUUUCAUUAAUCAAGAACGAAAGUUAGGGGAUCGAAGACGAUCAGAUACCGUCGUAGUCUUAACCAUAAACUAUGCCGACUAGGGAUCGGAUGAUGUUAAUUUUUUAAUGACUCAUUCGGCGCCUUACGGGAAACCAAAGUGUUUGGGUUC